rnacentral:misc_RNA from 1 species
AUAUAAUCAACCUUCUCUUCUUGCGUUGGCUUGGAUGUGGGGGGUUUUUAUAUGCUGGCCUUUCCAAAGUUCAGCUCCCCUGAAAUGCAUUAGCAGAACAACCCUUGUUCAUUGGUGUGAUAACUAUCUACGCUAUUGAAUGUAAGGGGCAGUUCAGCUUUCUAACAGUCCUCGGACAAUUCAUCAUUA